CUGGGGUUAAUACCUCGGGAGGAUGACGGUACCUGAAGAAUAAGCACCGGCUAACUACGUGCCAGCAGCCGCGGUAAUACGUAGGGUGCGAGCGUUAAUCGGAAUUACUGGGCGUAAAGCGUGCGCAGGCGGCUUUGCAAGACAGAGGUGAAAUACCCCGGGCUCAACCUGGGAACUGCCUUUGUGACUGCAAGGCUAGAGUACGGCAGAGGGGGAGUGGAAUUCCGCGUGUAGCAGUGAAAUGCGUAGAUAUGCGGAGGAACACCGAUGGCGAAGGCAAUCCCCUGGGCCUGUACUGACGCUCAUGCACGAAAGCGUGGGGAGCAAACAGGAUUAGAUACCCUGGUAG
rnacentral:rRNA from 1 species